CAGCACACACAGCUCAGGUGAGAUGGGACGCAGAAACUGCCCCAAAAUGCCCCGAAACCGCAGCGCGACAUAGGCCAAAUGUUACAGGCCCCAGGCGCAGUAAAGGCACAGACCCCCCGUGAAACAUCACCGGUACCAUCAGAGGAGGGAGAACCGCUAGACAGCCCACACCUUAAUCCCCAACACCCCACACACACGUGGAUGCCAGAAGCCAGCGCACCGGCCUCAAAACAAAAUAUACAGGCUAUGCUGACAGGCCUGCAAAAGAACUUAAGACAAAUGUGGGAAGCGGACCUGGCUGUGCUUAAACUAGACGUGCACGCCGUGUCCACGCGCACUCAGGCGGUAGAAGAGGAGGUAAAGGGACUAAGAGAGAAUUACCAGGAACUGGGGGAGAAGGUGCGACACCUUCAAGCUGCACAAGCGACAAUGUCCAG